GUUCUUGAAUUUGGAAGGUGAAUGUGAUUCCACUAGUAUUGACCAGAGGAUUUGCACAUCUUCGCAGGGGCAAGAUUUCACAUCUUCGUACAGAAUGAAAUCUCAUUGGAAUUUGCAGGUGAUGUAAAAUUGUAUCAAGAGGAUAAGAAGUUUUAGUACAAAAUAUACUAAGAACAGUGAAGAAGAGAACACAUACACUUUUGUGAAAACUAGCAUGCAUAUAUAAAGAAGAUUUUUAAGAAAAAUCAUGGACAAUUAAUGCAGCAAUGGAAAGUGUUAUGGAACAUACUUUUCUUUUGUGUUGAAUGCAACCGGAGCCAAAGCUUCUUCAGUGGAGAGAAGAGGGAUUGUAGCCACCCCAUUUGAUGAAGUGAGUGUGACUCAAUUACUGGAGAAAAAUAAUAACAAGAGGGUAAGAGAUAAUUUGGAGGAAAAUCCUGUUAUAUAUAUAUAUAGCCUUUGCUUAAACAAGUGUGAAUUUUGCCAUGUCGUUUUUCAUGUUUUGGGAAAUUUUUACAUUCCCUUGUAGGCCAAUGAUGAAAUUGAUCCUAUUUGCUGUUGGUAUAAUGUCCCUUUCAUAUAACCUUUUAUCCCUUUUGUAUGAGAAGAAGGAAACACUCCACCAAUCAGCUUUGAAUCUUACACUUUCAUCACUUAAAAAAAAGUAGAAAAAAGAAGCCUCUAUUAAUGUCCAUUUUCUCUUUUCUCUAAAGAGUGGCUUAUGGCUCAA